GACGAACGCUGGCGGCGUGCCUAAUACAUGCAAGUCGAGCGGACGGAUGGGAGCUUGCUCCCAGACCGUCAGCGGCGGACGGGUGAGUAACACGUGGGCAACCUGCCUGUAAGACUGGGAUAACUCCGGGAAACCGGGGCUAAUACCGGAUAACUCUUUCCCUCACAUGAGGGAAAGCUGAAAGAUGGCAUCUCGCUAUCACUUACAGAUGGGCCCGCGGCGCAUUAGCUAGUUGGUGAGGUAACGGCUCACCAAGGCGACGAUGCGUAGCCGACCUGAGAGGGUGAUCGGCCACACUGGGACUGAGACACGGCCCAGACUCCUACGGGUGGCAGCAGUAGGGAAUCUUCCGCAAUGGACGAAAGUCUGACGGAGCAACGCCGCGUGAGUGAUGAAGGUUUUCGGAUCGUAAAACUCUGUUGUCAGGGAAGAACAAGUACCGGAGUAACUGCCGGUACCUUGACGGUACCUGACCAGAAAGCCACGGCUAACUACGUG
rnacentral:rRNA from 1 species